GCUGGCGGCAGGCCUAACACAUGCAAGUCGAACGCACCUUCGGGUGAGUGGCGGACGGGUGAGUAACACGUGGGAACGUACCUUUAGGUUCGGAACAACUCAGGGAAACUUGAGCUAAUACCGAAUGUGCCCUUCGGGGGAAAGAUUUAUCGCCUUUAGAGCGGCCCGCGUUAGAUUAGCUAGUUGGUGAGGUAAUGGCUCACCAAGGCUACGAUCUAUAGCUGGUCUGAGAGGAUGAUCAGCCACACUGGGACUGAGACACGGCCCAGACUCCUACGGGAGGCAGCAGUGGGGAAUCUUGCGCAAUGGGCGAAAGCCUGACGCAGCCAUGCCGCGUGAAUGAUGAAGGUCUUAGGAUUGUAAAAUUCUUUCAGCAGGGACGAUAAUGACGGUACCUGGAGAAUAAGCCCCGGCAAACUUCGUGCCAGCAGCCGCGGUAAUACGAAGGGGGCUAGCGUUGUUCGGAAUUACUGGGCGUAAAGCGCACGUAGGCGGAUUGUUAAGUCAGAGGUGAAAUCCCGGAGCUCAACUUCGGAACUGCCUUUGAUACUGGCAAUCUCGAGUCCGGAAGAGGUUAGUGGAAUUCCCAGUGUAGAGGUGAAAUUCGUAGAUAUUGGGAAGAACACCAGUGGCGAAGGCGGCUAACUGGUCCGGUACUGACGCUGAGGUGCGAAAGCGUGG
rnacentral:rRNA from 1 species